rnacentral:tRNA from 1 species
GCGGCUGUGGUCUAGUCUGGUCUAGGACCCAGGCCCCCCGAGCCUGAAGCGGGUUACGCGGAUUCAAAUCCCGCCAGCCGCACCA